GGGCGUAUGGUCUAGUGGUCACGAUUUCUCGAGAGCCAUCAUUCUGUAGCAUUCGUAGCCCAUAACACGCUCCGUCAGGAGCCUCUGUCAGUGGUUCGGAUCUACAGAGUGCCAAGUCCCCGUUCAACACGAGCGGGAUCCCCGUUGACACUGGUGAGAUAGCUAUGGCUCUUGAGGACCUAGGUUCGAAUCCUAGUGCGUCCA